AAGUCCCUCUAUCCCCC
rnacentral:tRNA from 30 species